AGGCCAAUGGCCAGGUUGUGCCCUUGGUCUAAACACCGACAACAGUGCUGGUGACAAAGUAACCCAGACGCCCAGGUCUGCCGUGCCAACGCCUUUGGCGCGGCAAUACUACUUUAUCAUGCCAUGUCUGUUGGCAAAGCAAACCUGGACAUCCCAAAAUUGUAAACUCAUUCUGGACAGACAGGGAAGUGUCAAGUUCAUCGAUGAACCAUACAUGCAGUAUUUCAACACGUCCAACUAAAAUCCAUCACAAUCCCUCACACCAAUCUAUGACACACAAAUCCAUGACAUAGUUCAACACAAAUCCAUCCCAUAGUUCCACACAAAUCCAUCACAUAAUUCCACACAAAUCCAUGACACACAUUCCAUCAUACAAUCCAUCACAAUCCACC
rnacentral:lncRNA from 1 species